UACAGAGGUCUCAAGCGUUGUUCGGAAUCACUGGGCGUAAAGGGUGCGUAGGUGGCUUGGUAAGUCAGAUGUGAAAGCCCGGGGCUCAACCUCGGAAUUGCAUCCGAUACUGCUAGGCUAGAGUACUGGAGGGGUGACUAGAAUUCUCGGUGUAGCAGUGAAAUGCGUAGAUAUCGAGAGGAAUACCAAAGGCGUAGGCAGGUCACUGGACAGUUACUGACACUGAGGCACGAAGGCCAGGGGAGCAAACGGG
rnacentral:rRNA from 1 species